GUAGGCGUGGAAAGAGGUUGGCGCUCUGGAAGUCCAGCUGCUUCGGCUCCCUGCGUUAAGUCUGGUGGCGGUCAGUGCGCUUCCGGACCCGGGAUCAGAGUGUGUGGAUCGCUAUAAAGGGAGGGGAGCUCAGGUAUCACCAUGGCAACAGCCAGCCCUCCGGACCCGUGACGUCACCCUUCUGGUUUCGCGCUUAGAGGCCUCUGCGGGAGAAAGCUGGGGAGUCCUCAAAGGGGGCGCACCUCGCCUCCGUCUGUGCGGGGCGGUCCCGCCCUGAUCCCUUGGAGGGCUUUGUUCUUUUGUUCUGGCCUAAGGGGAAGUCGGGUGCCGGGCCCCGCCCUGCUUAUCCACCUUCCAGCUUUAACGCUCUGCAACAGGAUAGACAACCUCAGCGUGUUGCAGACUCCCUGCAAGGGGAGCUAGACAUCUGAGUCCCAGACUGAGGUAUCAGCUGAAGGAACGCUGCCUGGCGAACCCUGGUAUUCAAGUUCCAGAGGAACGGGAUGAGCUUCUGAGAUGGAAGAUCUGUCCUCUCCAGACUCCACCCUUCUCCAAGGGGGACAUAAUCUACUCUCAUCAGCCAGUUUUCAGAUGUUACACAGGAUUCAGAAAAAUAUGGAAGAGAUGGUUUAUGGCAAGUGGUACAUAAAUGAUUGAAUGAAGUCAGAAUACGAAAGCCUUGAAUACCUGGAUGAGAAGUUGAAGGCUUUAUCGUGUAAGCCAUUUAUGAACCAUUAAUGAUUUUUAAUGGAAGAAAAGUGACCUGGACUGAUGGAGAACUUAGACAAAAAAGGUAACAAUUGCUCACCAGCCAUAAUCAACCUCAAGCCCUCCUCCUUCUUAAAAUUUUCCCCCUGCUUAAUUCCUGUCCCAUAACUGAAUUUUCUUAACAAAGAAAUGGUACUAGUUCUUCCCACUUUCAGCCCAAGUACUUUUGGUAUUUUCUAUUUAAUUGGGGAGUAUAUUGUGACAGUAAAGUGCACAUAUUUAAAAAUGUAUAAUUUGGGCCGGGCGCGGUGGCUCAAGCCUGUA